AAAUUCUGAUAAAAACAUACAAUUUUAUCCGCCAGGGGACUACAAGCAUUAGCUUAAAACCCAAAGGACUUGGCGGUGCUUCAAACCCACCUAGAGGAGCCUGUUCUAUAAUCGAUAACCCCCGCUUAACCUCACCAGCCCUUGUUAAUUCAGCCUAUAUACCACCGUCGCCAGCUUAUCCUGUGAAGGCCUCAUAAUAAGCAAAAUGGGUAAAACCCUAAACGUCAGGUCAAGGUGUAGCGCAUGGGGUGGGAAGAAAUGGGCUACAUUUUCUAACUUAGAAUAUACGAACCACACUGUGAAACCAGUGUCCGAAGGUGGAUUUAGCAGUAAAUAGAAAAUAGAGUGUUCU
rnacentral:rRNA from 1 species